rnacentral:rRNA from 1 species
GAGUUUGAUCAUGGCUCAGAACGAACGCUGGCGGCGUGGAUAAGACAUGCAAGUCGAACGGGAGAAUUGCUAGCUUGCUAAUAAUUCUCUAGUGGCGCACGGGUGAGUAACACGUGAGUAACCUGCCCCCGAGAGCGGGAUAGCCCUGGGAAACUGGGAUUAAUACCGCAUAGUAUCGAAAGAUUAAAGCAGCAAUGCGCUUGGGGAUGGGCUCGCGGCCUAUUAGUUAGUUGGUGAGGUAACGGCUCACCAAGGCGAUGACGGGUAGCCGGUCUGAGAGGAUGUCCGGCCACACUGGAACUGAGACACGGUCCAGACACCUACGGGUGGCAGCAGUCGAGAAUCAUUCACAAUGGGGGAAACCCUGAUGGUGCGACGCCGCGUGGGGGAAUGAAGGUCUUCGGAUUGUAAACCCCUGUCAUGUGGGAGCAAAUUAAAAAGAUAGUACCACAAGAGGAAGAGACGGCUAACUCUGUGCCAGCAGCCGCCGU